GAGAUUGUCCGGAUGUCACUGACAUACUGAUGUAGUGGAAGAAAAAUGGGUGUAGCGGUGUUUGGGCACAACGUCAUACAUUUACAGAGACCGGACGAAAAAAAGACAUUGCUUGGAGGAAAGUGAGCGAGGAAGUUGGACUACCUGUCCGUGGGCCAACAGCACAGGAAGUCCCGCCCCCAGUAUGAGAGUGAGGCUCUAUACGACUCUCAGCCCCCCCUGCUGGUGGCCGCCAGUUCCUGCAUGAUGGUGGAGGCGAGUGGAGCUCUGCUGCCCUCUGCUGUUGAUUUCAGGAAAAAGGGUGAGGCUUGCAGAAGAACACCAUCCCAACCGUGAAACAUGGGGG